rnacentral:tRNA from 1 species
GGGCCCGUGGCCUAGAAUGGAUAGGGCGGCGGCCUCCUAAGCCGUAGGUCGUGGGUUCGAAUCCCACCGGGCCCG